UGUUUUGAAGGUUUUGAAAAGUAAGUCGGCAUGGCCAGUUGGCGUCAAUGUGUCAGUUGUUGGUGGUUGUCGGAGUUGUGUCAUCCUUUCAUCUCUUCAUACUGUGAAUAUCUGUGAAUCUGUGACGCAAGCUACUGUGCCACGCGCAGUAUCUUCAAAGUAACCAGUUGAAGGCCGGCCGAACCAAGAGAAGGUACAAGCGGGACAUAGGAACCAAAUCCGAACUACGGUGUGAAGCAAGGACAUCGUAUGACAAGGCACCGAAGACGGGCGAGAAGAUUAUUCCUUCGAACGCUUCAGCGUGCAUUUCAUCUGAAACAUCGUCUACGCAGAGUGCAGCUUACAUGAGAUCUUUUAAAGCUCCACAGUGUGUGUUGCUGUGAAAUAUAUGAUAUGAUGUAAUAGGUGAUGUGACUGCAGAUGUGAUGUGCUGAACAGUAUGCGUGAACAUGUGUGAUAUGUCCUCUUCCUGAACUGACUGGGGGGGGGGGGGUCCUUGUGAUCGUGCUGGCUUGUGUUCUCCCCUGCCCUGAACCAUGUUUUUUGAGGCGAGGGUGUGAAUAAGUAAGACUGUUGUAUGGGAUGUACUUGAAGUACCAAUUACUGCUAUACGUACAUAUUUCAGUGCUUGUACUUUACUUAAAGUACAUUUAAAUUUCAGUAUUUUU